GAAAUUUCCGGAGUCCUCCACUACGGCGUGCCUCAUAAUCAGAAAGUGGUUUUGGCACGUAAAACCCCAUAAUAAAAAAAAAAGCUACAGCUAAUUACAUUUUCAGACAGCACACUGCAUUGUGAAAUUCACCAUUCCACUGCUCAGCUCUUUUUGAGUCGGGAAAAGUCUGGUGCCAUGCCCAGUUGCUGAGCAUAGUUUCUAAUCAUCUGCUCCUUUCAUUGAGUUCUGUUUCAUACAAAACACUGAAAAACUCGUGAACACGUUUGAGCAGUCACAGGUCACAAAAUUUGCAUUGUUGCAUUUUUUUAAAAUAAAUUUCUUCUUUCUUCUUGACAUGAAUAACGUUGGUAGGUUCUAGCUACAUUUCUCACAUAAAAAAUUGCUUUGAACUGAUGUCAAGCUUCUUUAUUUAACGAAUGCUUACUCACUCCUCAUAUUAUUUAAAAGCUUGCUUGUUGAUGGCAAUGGAUGUCUGCAAUUUUUGUCCGGCAGCUGUUCAUUCAUUAAAAAUGCCUUAGGCUAAAGCUAAAUACCUGGCUCCUUGUGGUGUGUCUUCUAGGCAUGUGGUUGAAGCUAGGCAUUAGGCUAAUUGAAGACACCAGAUGUGGAUAGCAAAAAACAAGACAAUUUUGACCUUGGUACUCUCCAAAGACUGUCACGGACAUUUAAUCUUUUAUUGCUCAUGUAUUGAAUAUUGUAAGAGCAUACUUGCUUUGUUUUUCUUCUGACCACAGUUAACCACAGUGUCUGGCUUGUCAAAAGUCCAGUUUUGUGGCCAGAAUGUUUUGAAGUUACAUUGUAAGAAAUGCCCUGGAAACAUUUAUUGCUCAGGACAUCAUACAAGCAUUUGAAGGUAAAGUCCACUGUUUUCUGUGGCUUCUAUUCUGAACUGUUCCAAAUUUUCGAGUUACCCUAUGAUGCAUUUAAAAUCAUUUUCAGCUAGGAAUAUUUACCACUUCUUUGACACACAAAAUGCUAUGUAAAAAUAUUGUACUAGAUCAAAUUUUGUUGACUACAAUAAUGGCAGAGCUUUUGCUUUUGGCUGUACCAAAUAAUUGCAGUUGUGAUCGAAUUACUUGUUAUACUGCUUGCUAGUGAUAACUAGAUAUUUUCAGUGCAAUAUAAUAUUUGGUGGUAACUUUCAGGAUCAUAGCAAAUGGAGUUAUUUGCUCAUAUUAGAGUUUGUAUUAGCAGAGGAGUAUUACAAUAUAGCCUGCUUGUUUCCACAGAUAUGUAUUUCACCUGUUUAUCGAAAUGUUCAUGUUAACUUCUGGCAAAUAUUUUCCUUAUAGAUAGAAGUUGCAGUUGGAGAACAAAAUUUACCCUGUGUUGGGAUUUUUAAAGAUCACUUUGAACUUCUUUUUCCGAAGUUUCGUAGCUUAAGUAAAUGUAGAUUUUUUUUUUCAGUAUCAACUGCAGUGUACACAGUUUGAGCAGCUAAAAAAACUGCAUGUACAGGAGCACUGCCUGAAUAUUCUAGCUUUAUCUGCAGGUAUUAGAUGUCAUAUGAUAGGUCUAUCUAAGCUGUGUAAAUUAUGAGGAUGAAGUUAAAAGCAUUGCAAUAUAACUUCCACUAAGCCUUCUGAGCACAAAUGUAAGGUUGAUUAGAGACAUUCUCUGCUUAGCAACAUGUAUGUUCAUGCUUAGCUGACUGAAAAUCAAGAAGUGCUCUAGUUUUUCAGAAAUCCACAUCAUAAACGUGUGUUCCUUUUUAUGAAAAUGUGCAUGAAGCCUGCUGCUGAUACACACUUUGCCUGAAGUAGCAAACAUCAAGUGCUUGAUGCUAAAACUGAUGGUCAUUUCCAUUCAACAAUACUUGCUGUGUGUUUUCUGCAUUGUUAAAUUGAGCAUAUCUCUUGCAUCCUGCUACAAAACUCAACCAGCUUGCUGGGGACCAAGUUAGCAUGUAAGCCUUCUGAGCAGUCAGCAGCACACUGCUGCCAUAAUAAAUAAUUUCCUGACCCAAA
rnacentral:lncRNA from 1 species